rnacentral:rRNA from 1 species
CGGCAGCGCGAGAGAGCUUGCUCUCUUGGCGGCGAGUGGCGGACGGGUGAGUAAUAUAUCGGAACGUGCCCAGUAGCGGGGGAUAACUACUCGAAAGAGUGGCUAAUACCGCAUACGCCCUACGGGGGAAAGGGGGGGAUCGCAAGACCUCUCACUAUUGGAGCGGCCGAUAUCGGAUUAGCUAGUUGGUGGGGUAAAGGCUCACCAAGGCAACGAUCCGUAGCUGGUUUGAGAGGACGACCAGCCACACUGGGACUGAGACACGGCCCAGACUCCUACGGGAGGCAGCAGUGGGGAAUUUUGGACAAUGGGGGAAACCCUGAUCCAGCCAUCCCGCGUGUAUGAUGAAGGCCUUCGGGUUGUAAAGUACUUUUGGCAGAGAAGAAAAGGUAUCCCCUAAUACGGGAUACUGCUGACGGUAUCUGCAGAAUAAGCACCGGCUAACUACGUGCCAGCAGCCGCGGUAAUACGUAGGGUGCAAGCGUUAAUCGGAAUUACUGGGCGUAAAGCGUGUGUAGGCGGUUCGGAAAGAAAGAUGUGAAAUCCCAGGGCUCAACCUUGGAACUGCAUUUUUAACUGCCGAGCUAGAGUAUGUCAGAGGGGGGUAGAAUUCCACGUGUAGCAGUGAAAUGCGUAGAUAUGUGGAGGAAUACCGAUGGCGAAGGCAGCCCCCUGGGAUAAUACUGACGCUCAGACACGAAAGCGUGGGGGAGCAAACAGGAUUAGAUACCCUGGUAGUCCACGCCCUAAACGAUGUCAACUAGCUGUUGGGGGCCGUUAGGCCUUAGUAGCGCAGC